AUUGAACGCUGGCGGCAGGCUUAACACAUGCAAGUCGAACGAGUGGCGGACGGGUGAGUAAUGCUUGGGAAUCUAGCUUAUGGAGGGGGAUAACUAUGGGAAACUGUAGCUAAUACCGCGUACCAUAGGAUGAGCCCAAGUGGGAUUAGGUAGUUGGUGAGGUAAAGGCUCACCAAGCCGACGAUCUCUAGCUGGUCUGAGAGGAUGACCAGCCAAACUGGGACUGAGACACGGUCCAGACUCCUACGGGAGGCAGCAGUGGGGAAUAUUGCACAACGGGGGAAACCUGAUGAAGCCAUGCCGCGGGUGUGAAGAAGGCCUUCGGGUUGUAAAGCACUUGCAGCGAGGAGGCGUUACUCGCAGAAGAAGCACCGGCUAACUCCGUGCCAGCAGCCGCGGUAAUAC
rnacentral:rRNA from 1 species